UCGGACAUGGUGUACGGCGCACGGCCUCACUUCUUAUCUCAGCUACAGCGCUGUGAGAGGUAGACCGGGGUUCGACUCCCCGUGUCCGAA